GACGAACGCUGGCGGCGUGCUUGACACAUGCAAGUCGAACGCUGAACCCGCUUCGGUGGGGGAUGAGUGGCGAACGGGUGAGUAACACGUGGGCAACCUGCCCCCGGCUCUGGGAUAACUCCAAGAAAUUGGGGCUAAUACCGGAUGUGACCGCUGGCCGCAUGGUCUGGUGGUGGAAAGGGUUUCCGGCUGGGGAUGGGCCCGCGGCCUAUCAGCUUGUUGGUGGGGUAGUGGCCUACCAAGGCGACGACGGGUAGCCGGCCUGAGAGGGUGACCGGCCACCAGGGGACUGAGACACGGCCCAGAAUCCUACGGGAGGCAGCAGUGGGGAAUAUUGCGCAAUGGGCGGAAGCCUGACGCAGCGACGCCGCGUGGGGGAUGACGGCCUUCGGGUUGUAAACCUCUUUCAGCAGGGACGAAGCGGAAGUGACGGUACCUGCAGAAGAAGCACCGGCCAACUACGUG
rnacentral:rRNA from 1 species